rnacentral:rRNA from 1 species
GACAGAGGCCUCGAGCGUUAGGCGGAAUCACUGGGCUUAAAGCGUGUGUAGGCGGAUCGUUAAGUGCCUUGUGAAAUCCCUCGGCUCAACCGAGGAACGUCGAUCGAUACUGCUGUUCUUGAGGAUUGCAGAGGGGACUGGAAUUCCCGGUGUAGCGGUGAAAUGCGUAGAGAUCGGGAGGAACAUCAGUGGCGAAGGCGGCCAUCUGGGACAACACUGACGCUGAAGCACGAAAGCGUGGGGAGCAAACAGG